UACGUAGGGUGCAAGCGUUGUCCGGAAUUAUUGGGCGUAAAGAGCUCGUAGGCGGUUUGUUGCGUCGGCUGUGAAAUCCCGAGGCUCAACCUCGGGUCUGCAGUCGAUACGAGCAAACUAGAGUGUUGCAGGGGAGACUGGAAUUCCUGGUGUAGCGGUGAAAUGCGCAGAUAUCAGGAGGAACACCGGUGGCGAAGGCGGGUCUCUGGGCCGUAACUGACGCUGAGGAGCGAAAGCGUGUGGAGCGAACAGG
rnacentral:rRNA from 1 species